GAUGAACGCUGGCGGCGUGCCUAAUACAUGCAAGUCGAGCGAACGGACGAGAAGCUUGCUUCUCUGAUGUUAGCGGCGGACGGGUGAGUAACACGUGGAUAACCUACCUAUAAGACUGGGAUAACUUCGGGAAACCGGAGCUAAUACCGGAUAAUAUUUUGAACCGCAUGGUUCAAAAGUGAAAGACGGUCUUGCUGUCACUUAUAGAUGGAUCCGCGCUGCAUUAGCUAGUUGGUAAGGUAACGGCUUACCAAGGCAACGAUUCAUAGCCGACCUGAGAGGGUGAUCGGCCACACUGGAACUGAGACACGGUCCAGACUCCUACGGGAGGCAGCAGUAGGGAAUCUUCCGCAAUGGGCGAAAGCCUGACGGAGCAACGCCGCGUGAGUGAUGAAGGUCUUCGUAUCGUAAAACUCUGUUAUUAGGGAAGAACAUAUGUGUAAGUAACUGUGCACAUCUUGACGGUACCUAAUCAGAAAGCCACGGCUAACUACGUG
rnacentral:rRNA from 1 species